CUGUGAAGUGCUCUUUUCGACGUCCCGUGCCAAGCUGGAGUUUGACAUUCGCAGUCUUACGUGAAGCUUGCGAGCAAACAGACGUACCCUGCGAGGGGGUUUCGGCAGUGCAAACAGGGCGAGGAUAUUGACAGCGAUCUGAAGACGGACGGGCACAAGCAGUGGGGAUUACAUCUGGAACUCGCUUUUCUAUUAUAUAUUCUUUUUUUCAAAAACUGGAAAUAUGAAGUUGCUUCGGAUUGCCCUCUUAAUUGCCCAUGGCUUCGCGGUGUCCAGAUUGGCCGGCAGCGCCUCUGUUGACAGCUAUGAGAGCGCCAAACCGGCGCAGACUGCUGUGAUAGAUCUUCUGCACGCGCUGAACGACAUGAAUAGCGUGGAAGAUAAUGGAGACGUGGAAUACGGGAAUGAGGAUGAAUACUACUACGAUGAAGAGGACGAAGAGGAUUAUCUGUCAGGGGAUUAUGGACUCGAACUCCCCAGGGUGGCGUUUUCCACCAAACCGAAGGACCCGUCCGUCGUCCUGACCACCGAGAGGAAGAGAAAAGGAAAGGGCAAGAAGAAGGGCAAAGGAAGGAAGAGGAACCCCUGUCUGAGGAAGUACAAGGAUUUCUGCAUUAAUGGCGUCUGUCAGUACCUGAAGGACCUACACGCUCCAUCCUGCAUAUGUCUAGCGGGGUUCUCCGGGGAACGGUGUCACCUCUUCAGUUUGCCCGUCUCCAAAGAGGAGGGCGGCUACAACCGGACGACGGCGCUGGCUGUGGUGGCUGUGGUGCUGUCCUUAAUCUGCCUCACCAUCAUCGGCAUUCUGCUGGCGCUCAGGAAAGGUUCCAGGACAGAGGGCCUAAAUCCUCUGUUGUUUCAGGUUCCACAAACAAGGUGAUUAUGACGUCGAGAGCGAAGAAAAGGUCAAAUUGGGAAUGACCUCACACCACUGAAGAGCAGGAGAGAAAGCCUGAAGGAGAUGGAAAUUCUACCUCAAAAAUGCCAAAAAAAAACAAAAUGGAGAAGUGCCAAGAGGAACACACGUUUUUUCGGGAAGAAGGAGAGAGCAAGUGUGUCUGGCACAUGUGACUGUCGCCCCGCAAAAUGACUGACAGACCUACAGACUGAACAGACACACUGGAGGCGGGUGGGGGACGUCGGAAAGGGGGGAGGCGGUGCGGGGGGGCCGAGUUUGCCGGCCGACUAAGACAGACGUCUGUCUGAAACUAGAAAACUGAUUCAAUGGUAAGAUGGACUGAGCGAAGUCACAAUGGGAGAACAAUUCUCUGGUGGUGUGGGUGGCAUGUGGAGGCUAAAUUCAGCUCUUCAUCACAUUUUUGACAGGGACAUGGUAUCUUUCAAAGGUGCUUUUAUAGCAGAAAGCCACUUGUUCUUUGUUUGGGGUGUAGUACGAUUGAUUUUUUUUGUUUGUUUUUUUCCACACAUUUUCAUCAUUGUAUGUCCUGUAAAUGUAUUUAUACCAUCUGUAUUUUAAUUUAUUUAUUUAUGUUCUGGUAUAGUGGUAUUUAUUCAGAUUUCUACUAGCUUAGCCUGUUUUGAAAAUGUACUGCCAGUUCUUCAACAUUGAGUUAACAUUCAUGUCCUUGUCUAUUUUUAUAUUGAAAACCCGUUAAUCCAACUUGAUAUUUAUUCAGAUUAAAUAUGGUAAAGGCAUAAGUGACCCAGUGGUUAGAUUUUUUGUAAGAAAGCUUUUUUGCAUUGAUAGUAAUUCCUAUUCAGUGGUUUAUAUCUGUGGCAAAGCAAAACAUAUAUAUAUAUAUCAGACUGGCAGAGUUAUGAAAUAAAAACAAAACAAAGCCAUGCUUAGCUUUACCACUAAAAACUGCCUUUAAGUAAUCUCUGCCGUCCCACUGGUCAAGGGCUGUGUGAUGUAAAGGUUAAGCUAAACUAAUUCAGCUUAUAAAAUGUGAAUUUAAAACAGUCUGGCUUCUCAAAACUAAUGUUUCGAAUAAACUGAAGUUUUGUGAAAUUAUGCCUGAAUGGAAAAUAAACCUUUUUUUUAAACUGAAAA